CUAGAAACAUUGGUUAAUGUAUGCAGGGCUAUAAAAAGAAACAUAUAUGUUUGGAUUCAUUUGUAGGUUAUAAAAUUAACAUCAAGAGAGUUAACCAUUAUGUUGAGACAAAAAUACAAAAUUUAAUUGUGCAGAUUUUUAAAGAGAAUAUUUUAAGGUAAAUUAGUGAGAACAUGAGAUUGAUAUGUAGUCAGACUUGGAAAUACAGGCAUAUUCCACUUGAAAUUCUAGAAAGGAAGGAAAGAAUUCACAGUGGGUGUGUAACUCCUUUCAUCUCUAUGAACAAAUAUUGAAAACUAUAGCCUGGGAUUGGAAAGUGAGCUACACGCAGUGUCCUCACUAGGGAGCUUUGUGUUGGACACUUAUGUUAUUUUCUUCAGGAUAAAUGCAUUGCUGGAAAGGCUUUCCUUUAAUUACUGACCUUGAACUGUGGAAUCCAUUAGAGAAUGAGAGAAAAGCUUAUGUGUCUGAAAUGUUGCACAGCUGUCAUUUUCUUUAAGAUAAAUUAAUGAGCAUUGCUGUUUAGACACCUGGGUUACAGUUCCUGCUCUGUAACCAACUAGCUGAGUGACAUUGAUCUAAGCCCACAUGGGACAACAGUGCCUCAUCUCUAACAUUAAAGAUUUGUACUA
rnacentral:lncRNA from 1 species